GGAGGCCAGAGUGAGCCACUUGCUUUGGUCCUCCAGGAAGAGGAAGGAGGCCUGGCGACGGUCCCUUGGCCGGGAGGCAGAUGCUGCACAGGGCAGGACCAAAGAGAAACUGGUGACGUUGGAUGUGGUGGGUGUGCACAUCCCCAAAGAGGAGUGAGCUCUCCUGGAUCCAGGCCAAAGAACUCUCUAUAAGGAAGUUGUGAUGGAGGAUUUUGGUAAUGAGGUCUCUGCAGGUGAUUGGCAGGAGAGCGAAAGUGAGAAGGAACCCUCUGUCGAAGCAAUGAAGCAAGAGGCAGGACAGGAGACAUUUAAG